AUUGAACGCUGGCGGCAGGCCUAACACAUGCAAGUCGAACGAGUGGCGGACGGGUGAGUAAUGUCUGGGAAACUGCCUGAUGGAGGGGGAUAACUACUGGAAACGGUAGCUAAUACCGCAUACCAUCAGAUGUGCCCAGAUGGGCUUAGCUUGUUGGUGGGGUAACGGCUCACCAAGGCGACGAUCCCUAGCUGGUCUGAGAGGAUGACCGACCACACAGGAACUUAGACACGGACGAGACUCCUACGGGAGGCAGCAUUGGGUAAAAGUGCACAAGGGGCGCAAGCCUGAGGGAGACGUGCCGCGUGUAUGAAGAAGUCCUUCGGGUUGGAAAGUACUUUCAGCGGGGAGGCGUUACCCGCAGAAGAAGGACCGGCUAACUCCGUGCCAGCAGCCGCGGUAAUAC
rnacentral:rRNA from 1 species